AACGAACGCUGGCGGCAGGCUUAACACAUGCAAGUCGAGCGCCCCGCCAGGGGAGCGGCAGACGGGUGAGUAACGCGUGGGAAUCUACCCAGCUCUACGGAAUAACCCCGGGAAACUUGGACUAAUACCGUAUAAGCCCCUCCGGGGAAAGAUUUAUCGGAGUUGGAUGAGCCCGCGUUGGAUUAGCUAGUUGGUGGGGUAAUGGCCUACCAAGGCGACGAUCCAUAGCUGGUCUGAGAGGAUGAUCAGCCACACUGGGACUGAGACACGGCCCAGACUCCUACGGGAGGCAGCAGUGGGGAAUAUUGGACAAUGGGCGAAAGCCUGAUCCAGCCAUGCCGCGUGAGUGAUGAAGGCCCUAAGGUUGUAAAGCUCUUUCACCGGUGAAGAUAAUGACGGUAACCGGAGAAGAAGCCCCGGCUAACUUCGUGCCAGCAGCCGCGGUAAGAC
rnacentral:rRNA from 1 species